AAGUCUUAUAGUACUCUUUUUAUUUUUCAGAUCAACUUAGGAAGGAAAAUGGUAAACUUUUAUGACUCUACAAAAUAUGAUCUCCCUAUUAACCGUUUCAUAAGAAGUCAUAUAUUACUCUUUAUUUUUCAGAUCUUCUUAGGAAGGAAAAUGAUCAACUUGGGGAGGAAAAUGGAAUAUUGCAAAAGGAAAUUGAUGAGAGGAAAGCUCAAUUUAAGAAUGGCUGGCAGAAGUCAUCGUUGUAUCCUGGUGAGUAUGUUGCACUGAAGAUGAGUCUAAGAUAGACAGUUAAGCUCGUAAAUUCUAUAAAACAUUGGGCUACUAACUACCACAUGACAGAGAAAUACAUACAUACAUAUAUAUAUAUAUAUAUAUAGAGAGAGAGAGAGAGAGAGAGAAGUGUAUGUAUAUAUAUGUGCUUGCAACUUCUGGUCCAUAGAAAACAUAGCAAGAAAGAUAAUUUUUUAGUGUUUUUCUUUUCGCCUUUUCUCACCUGCCUCUCACAAGACAGAAGUUAAUUAAACCAGAUAUUAAGAAAUGAAAAAAGUAUAAUUUUCUCUUUUGUGAUUUUUAUUCAUUCUCACUAUAUUACAACUUCAGUUCCUUGCCUAACUCAAAAACAUAAAUUUUUUUCUCUAAUUUUUUCCACCGGUAUUGGAUUUUAUCAAAUGAUUUUUCUGUGCCUAUUGAGAUGAUUAUGCUAUGCUGUCCUUUAUUUUAUUAGUAUGGUUUAUUAUAUGAAUUGAUUUUUACAUGUUAAGCUGAUCUUGCAUUCUGGGAACUAAUCCCACUUGGCGGUGUGUGUAAUCAUUUUUGCAUGGCUGUUAUAUUAAAUUUACUAGUAUGUUAUUGAGAGUUUUGCAUCUGUAUUCGUGAAGGAUAUUUGUGAUGUCUUUGGUUUUAGUACCAGGGUGAUACUAGCCUCAGGAUGAUAAGGGAAAUAUUCUACCCACUUCUAUUUUCUAGAAGAUUUUGUUGAAGCUGGUAUUUUCUGUCCUUUAAAGGUUUGAUAAAACUCACCAGUAAAAUCAUCUGGGCCUGGGAAUGAAUUCGCAUAAAUUUUCAAUUCAAUUAUUUUACUUGUUAUAAGUCUUUCCAGAUUUUCUAUUUCUUAAGCCAUUUUUAGUAAUUUGCGUAUCUUGGAGAAUUUGUGUAGUUCGUCUAAGUUUAAUUUGUCAGCUAUGGAUUUUAAUAGAAGUUUCAUUUGAGCUUUCUAAAUUCUGUAGAUUCAAUAGUGAUCUCAUCAAUAUGUGGUUUCUCAUUCUUAUUGAGCAAUCUAGUAAAAUUUGCUGAUUUCCUAAAAAAGCAAAAUCUGUUUCAGUGAUUUUUUUCCUAAUAAAUUUUGUUUUCUUUCAUUGAUUUCUAACCUAAUCUUUAUUAUUUCAUUAUUUGAUUGCUCUAAGCUUCGUUCACUCUUCUCUUUUCAGUCUUUUCAUGGAGAAACUUAGGCUAUUGGUUUAAGAUAAUACUUUUUCUCUACUUUGGACAAUUCAAGCUCCAAAUUUCCCUGUAGGUAUUACUUUUAGCUGCAUCCAAUAAAGUUUGGUAGAUAGUGUUCUCAUUUUAAUUCAAUUCAAAAUAUUUUUAAAAUUUUCUUUUGAUUUUUUUAUCCACAGAUUGUUUAUAAAUAUAUCAAUAUCCAAAUAUUGCUAAAUAAGAAAUUUUCUUCUUUUUUGAUUCCUAAUUUAAUUUUAUUGUAACCAGAGAUCAUCUUUUUUACAGCUGUCUUUUUAUUAAUCGCUUUAAAUAUUUUUUCAUGAAUGAGCGUUUCUCAGUUUGAUGUGUGCCUUUGUCAAUUUCCACCAUUGCAAAGUGAUCAUUUUUUUAUAAUUUUUCCAGUUUUAAUUGUUGCUUUUGGGGAUAGGAUUUAGGCUUCUCAUUCAUUCCCUUCCAGUUAGUUUCAUGCAUCAAUAACUAUUUCCUAAGUAGAACUCUAGAUAUAUUUGUCUAGCGUUUUUCCCUAUAUGUCUUCUGUAUGGUUGCUCACUUGAAGCUACCCAGUAUAACUGUAAAAAUUCCAUCAUCUUGAUCUUUGCUUAUUCUUGACUUUCUUAAGUCAUUUUGUUCAAUAAAGAAAUUCCACUAGUGCCUUAUGCUAAAAUUGCACAUUUAAUUUCAUUUCUUAUUUUAGGUGACCUAUGAAAGCCAUUGUCAUACUUGUUCUAAAAAGGCCAAGAUUGUAAAUAUUUUAAAGUUUAUGGGCCAUAUGGUCUCUGUCACAAUUACUCAACUGUGCCUUUUUAGCACAAAAGCAACCAUAGACAAUGCAUAAAGAGAUAGCAUGGUUGUGUUACAAUAAAACUAUUUACACUGACAGAUGGGCUGGAUUUGUCUCCUGGACUAACACAGGAACUGACUCUGGAUCUAGAAAAAGUCACUUUUAGAACCCUGAAAAAUCCACCCAUUUCUGGAGUUUUUCAUUUAUUUUGAUUAUGUUUUAUAUUAAAUAUGUAUUUAAAAGACAAAUAGUUCUUAAAAUAAAUGGUAAUAACAGAUCCAGUGGAUACUCUCUUUUCAAGUUCAUUCCUAUAGAUCCUGUUUAGGGCACAAGAUAUAUUGUCUAAAUGAUUAUAGAAAAAAAGUUUUAGAACUGUUUUGUCUCUUCUUAUCAUGGCUGUCUCUAUAUGCAGUCAGGUUUAUCUGUUUCGUCACUCUUACCACCUAAGCAUUGAACUAAGACUGCACUUUUUAAUUGUUGGUUGCAGUUUUGCACUUUCAUUUAUUAUGGCACUAUCUGCAUUGAGCAGUGUAAUGAACUUUAAUUUUUAUAAAAAUCAACUCAUAUCUCUCUGGUUUAACCUCUUGCAUACAAAUUAAUAUGAGUGUAUCUAGGUCUGUGAUUCUCCUGGGCAACUCUAUUCAAAAUAGUAGCUCUGAGAACUAGUUUUUUUCCAGUCUUCUGUCUUCUCCAUUUCUAGGGCCUUAUAAUUCUGGCAUUGGGUGGGAAAGUGUUAGAAUGGGAAUGAAAAAAAAAUCAAGUGAACUACUUUAUUGUCCAACCUAGAAAUGAUAUGGUUGCCUGCUGAGCACAUUGUAAUGACCAUAACUCAGUUGUAUCAUCUCACCUAAAGACGAUGAAGGUGGUGAGGGUUGGUAUGUAAUUCUACUCUUUUUUAAGAAGAGGAUAACUGCUUGUAGUCUGCACUACAUAAUAUAUAAGUUAGAGGGAUUAGUUCUUAUGAGAGCAUUUAAUAAGAAAAGCAGUGGAGGAGUUCCCGUUGUGGUGCAGUGGUUAACGAAUCCGACUAGGAACCAUGAGGUUGCGGGUUCAGUCCCUGCCCUUGCUCAGUGGGUUAACGAUCCGGCGUUGCCGUGAGCUGUGGUGUAGGUUGCAGACGCAGCUCGGAUCCCGCAUUGCUGUGGCUCUGGCGUAGGCCGGUGGCUACAGCUCCGAUUCAACCCCUAGCCUGGGAACCUCCAUAUGCCACGGGAGCGGCCCAAGAAAUAGCAACAACAACAACAACAACAA
rnacentral:lncRNA from 1 species